GAUUCCUCAAGGCAGACCCUUCAGCGGAUAUCAGGUCUCUUGAACUUCGUCAUUGUGCUUUGUUGUUUGGAAUCUAAAAUUUUCCAACAAUCUUUGUAAUAGCAGUAAUGGAACUUGAAUAUAUCUGAUCUUUGUGCUUUCGCGCGCUACUUGUGGUUAUGCUACUUCUUAGGUUUAGAUAGCUUGAUAAAUUUUUUUUUAUGUAUAUAUUAAAUGCCAUAAAUUUUCUUUUGGAUGAUUCCUGUCAUUUCUGUUUCCCCACUUCCUAUAAAUAUCUGUACCAUGUAAUUUUCUUCCCAGAUUAGUAGUAGGAUAUUGAUUUAAGUUUUUGACUGGUUGUCACAAGUUAUUAGGCACUGCUAUUAUUGGUUAGGAUCCCAGUGGUCUAGCUGCUGUGUAAUGCAUGAGGUCACUGGUUCUAAUCAUGAUAUUUGCCUCCCUUUUCUGUUGAAUAAUUUGCUAAUACAGAUGUAAGAGGACCAACAUGAAGUCGUUAUAGAUGUAACUAAUGUUUCUCUGCAUGUUUCCUAGGAGGUGGGCGGGAUCUUAGAAAGCCUCCUUUUAAUGAUGUUCUGGUUUACUUUGAUGCUGCUGAAUUACAAUUUCAUUUAUAUAAGAAAUGUAAAAUUUCAAGUCAAUGAAGGCUUCUAUCUGGUUGGGAAAUUGCUAAACCUUGGGUUACAAUCUACAGUAUACGUCAACUAGAUAUCUAUGCCAAUACUAGAUUGGUCUAACGAGUUAAGCUAAUGUUCUGUGUAGAUAAUGA
rnacentral:misc_RNA from 1 species